rnacentral:lncRNA from 1 species
UUUUUCGUUCCAAGUUCACGCUCACAUGAGUCCCGCCACCGCCACCGGUUUUUCUGCGCUUCCACAGCGCAUCGGUCGCGGGCGUGUCGGAAAUUCUUUUCCCGUUUCCUUUCAAGUCCAAAAGGUGGUUCUGACGGCUCUGACGGCCUGGUGGAUCCCGGUCAAACAAUCGGUCUCUGGAUCAAUAAGAAAAAUACAAAUUUAGAAUAAGAAAAAAAAAAGGAAAAAGGUGGAAAAGAUAUGUUUAGCUAAUUAGAUCGCAAUUACAUAGAACCCUACUUGUAUUCCUGUGGAAAAUCCCUACGCUACAUGGGAGAAGGAGAUUGGCACAUGACUUGCAAUGAUUUGUGGUAUGGUUCAUCAAUUAACUUUUUUUUAUUUUUCGAGAUAAAUUCUCUACAUGAUGGCGAAUUGGUAAAAGAUACCAGCAAAGUGUUAGACUACUUCUAUAUAUGUUAUAAAAUGACAUUUUUUUUGAACUAAAUAUAAUUUUUUGAGCAGAUGUAAAAGGACAUCGAGCUCCUGCUGUUAUGGAAUCUAGGAAAGAAUAUGCACAAUUAUACCUCUGCAUGGUGAGAGAUUGUUUUCAUAUUUGGAAUCUACAAUUAAUGUUUUGGUUACAAUAGAAUAAUCUUAGGAUGGUGCCAAGACUUGCUUUUACAAAAGAGAAGAUGAAGCUCGUAUAGUUAACAUUAACUUAAAAAAGAGAAAUUAGAAAGGACAAGCUUCAUCAUCAGCUCAAAAACGUGCCAACACCAGAUCAUAAGCCUGAAGCUGAGCCUGGAUGGUCAAAUUAAGUUUGUCAAAUGAAGAGCAAUGAGACUGGCCUCUAGUCAUCUAAAAUAAGCAGUGAUCCUAUAAGCCCACCUCACGUUGGGACUUGGGAUAGCUCCUCUAGAGAUAGAAUAGCAAGUAAGGAUGGCAAUCGGAUUAGAUCGGAUCAUAAAUGGGUCGGAUCAUAAAUGGAUCGGAUCAAAUAUGGAUCUGAUAAAAAAUAUUUAAAUUUGAAUCUGAUCUAUUUAAUAAAUAGAUGAGAUAUUGAAAUCUGAAUUUGACUCAUUUAAUAUUUGAUACGAUCCGUAUAAUCUGUUUAUAUUUAUAAUUUAUAAUUCAAAUGAAAAAAUUUGUUUGUGGCUUUGUGGUUCGUUUAAAAAAAUAAAAAAAAUAAAAACCUUCUCUCAGACUCAUGAUCUCACCUCUAUCUCUGAUCUUUGAUAAGAUGAAAAGAGGGAGGCUAAGAAUCGCCUUGGAACCAUCGAAGAGAGAAAUCCCUUCGUUGCCCUCCUCUUCUGCGCUCUUCUCAACCAAGGGUUACAGUCGUUGCCUUUCUAAACAGGAGACAAUCACAGGAGAAGAAUUAAAAAUGGGCCUUUCCCAAUCAUCAAAUACGAAGACUAACGGACGUCCAGAUCGCAUGAAAGUGGGCUUGCCAUCACUGUCACUUCAACAGAUGCACAUACACAAAGAAAUAAAAAAUAGAGAAGGAUAGGAUUCAAGGUUCAAGAAUUAUUACUAUCGUGCUCUCAGCCUAACCACCCUUCCUCCUGAUGCUUUCGGCUUGACCGUCCCUCCGUCUAACACUCUAGAUCUGACUGCCUUCUGCUUCGCCUGCAUCGCCGCACUUUCGGCCUGGCCGCACUAUUGCCGCCUCCAAACUUCAGCUUCGUCUGACCGCACCCUCAGCCGUCUCCAGCUUUCCACCCCAUCAAGAUCUCGGUCGCCUCCAGCAAGUCUUCAGAACAGUGGCGGCAUGAAGAAGAAGGAAAGGAGAGGGCUGAGGAGAAGAGAAAAAAAAAUCUUAAUAAGGUUGCGGGAUGGAGAAUUGGAG